AGUGUAAGAUCCUCUGUACAGAAACUAAUGUGACUGGCUCAGUGUUCUCUGUACAGCAAUGCGGUAUAUGUCUGAGCUGUAUAAAUGUACAAUAAUAGUACACAGAUGCCUAUAUC